rnacentral:rRNA from 1 species
ACUCCUGCGGGAGGCAGCAGUGGGGAAUUUUGGACAAUGGGCGAAAGCCUGAUCCAGCAAUGCCGCGUGAGUGAAGAAGGCCUUCGGGUUGUAAAGCUCUUUUGUCAGGGAAGAAACGGUGAAAGCUAAUAUCUUUUGCUAAUGACGGUACCUGAAGAAUAAGCACCGGCUAACUACGUGCCAGCAGCCGCGGUAAUACGUAGGGUGCAAGCGUUAAUCGGAAUUACUGGGCGUAAAGCGUGCGCAGGCGGUUUUGUAAGUCUGAUGUGAAAUCCCCGGGCUCAACCUGGGAAUUGCAUUGGAGACUGCAAGGCUAGAAUCUGGCAGAGGGGGGUAGAAUUCCACGUGUAGCAGUGAAAUGCGUAGAUAUGUGGAGGAACACCGAUGGCGAAGGCAGCCCCCUGGGUCAAGAUUGACGCUCAUGCACGAAAGCGUGGGGAGCAAACAGGAUUAGAAACCCUGGUAGUCCCAUGAU